AGGAUACGCAUGCAUGCAUGCACGGAUGGUAGAUAGUCUGAUUAAUUUGAGUAGCUAGAUGGAUGGAUGGAUCUAUUGAUUGGAACAAUCAUCAGUUCUAGCAACGCAAGGGAAAAAACGGUGAGUAUCUGUAGAUGAACCAGCCUGACCAUGUCCAAAGUCACCGUAACUCCCAUUAUUAUCUUCAUCAGCUUCUUCUUCUUUAUUUACAUUACCAACAGUACUACCCUUAUCAGCAGCACCAAGGUUAACCUUCCGCCCGAAAUUUGCAUCACUGAUCAAAACCCGGCCGCUAUGCUCUCCCAAAGGUAUCCAUCUUUUCGCAUCGGCUUCCAUGCUUCCACAUAUCAACACCAUGGCUACAAAGAAAAUCUUCAUGAUAAUUAAUCCUUCCUUCUUCGAUCUAUAUAUAUAUAUAUUAUUCCUGAAAAUAAAAAAUAAAAAAGAAGCUGAGAAGUUAGCAAAUUUUCCAAGCGGAUAUAUACAGCUCACAUGCAAUAAAACUAGGUUUGAUUCUAGCUAGCACUUACAGCGGAGAUAUAUAUAUUUGGUCAUGAAAAUAUUAGGAUGGUAAGGUUGCAUUAUAUACAAAUGAAGUUGGUUACUGUGUUUGCAAUAAUUAGUGGGAAAUAAAUAAUUAAGAUAGAGAUGUGGUUAAAAUUAAAAUUCACAAUUUAAUUCUUA
rnacentral:lncRNA from 1 species